rnacentral:rRNA from 1 species
UACAGAGGUCUCAAGCGUUGUUCGGAUUCAUUGGGCGUAAAGGGUGCGUAGGUGGCGCGCUAAGUCAGGCGUGAAAUUUCGGAGCUUAACUCCGAAACUGCAUUUGAUACUGGCGUGCUUGAGGACUGGAGAGGAGACUGGAAUUCAUGGUGUAGCAGUGAAAUGCGUAGAGAUCAUGAGGAAGACCAGUGGCGAAGGCGGGUCUCUGGACAGUUCCUGACACUGAGGCACGAAGGCCAGGGGAGCAAACGGG